rnacentral:lncRNA from 1 species
UUUAGAAUGGGAACAUUUAUUCUGACCCAGUAUAAUUGGAAGCAUGCAAUUUGCAAUUCCAAAAUAUUGUAAGAGAUCAUGAAUCUUAAAAGAGACAUUAGGCUUUAAACUUUUGAACACUACUGGCAUGGUCAAAGACUAUGGGGUUAUUGAAGUUGAGAUGAUGUGUUUUAGUUUAUGAAUGACCAUGAAGGCUAAGGGUGGAAUACGAUUUAAAUGUAAAAUGUCCCCCACAGGCUUUAUUUACUUAUUUACAUUUAAGAAUUAUUUGAUUGAUUAAAAUUGUUCUGGGAUAUGUUUGCAUGUGUGCACUAAGCAUACCAACUGGCCCCUCUUCCCUUCUGCAAUCCAUGUCUAUCUUUUUUUCUUUCCACAAAUCUUACCCUCCAGUUCCUGUCUAUUCAUUUUGUUUUAUGACUCACCAAGAUGAACCAGGGCCACCUCUGUGUCUGUGGGUUUGGAGCUAUCCAUUGGAGCUUGGCGGGCUCAGUAGUGGGGACACAGGUAAAAACAGUGAUUUUUUUUUUCUGGCCUAGAACCUAUUGGUAGCCAACAGUUCAGCGAUUAAGGGAGCUUUGGGACCCCUUCCUGCUUCUUCUACUGGUAGGUGGUAGACAAUGUCUUGUGAGGGCUCAAUGCUGAUAACCAAAGUUGUUAUGAGCUAAUUAGUGUUUGUUAUAAGUCUAGAGGAUUGCCACAGUCCUUUAUCCAAAUUUCUAGCCCUCUGUCCCACUGUACCCUGACCCUUAAAGAGGGUCAGGGUAUAAAUGUUCUCAUUAUGACUGGGAUCGCUGAAAUUUCCUGACUGCAAAAUUCUGGCUACAGAUAGUCUCCUGACUCAGCUGCAAAGAGUCUGGUGUCAUAGGCAUGUGUCACCUCCACUGUCAGCUUAUAUUUCCCCCUAUUAUCUUUAAUCUAUAAUACCCACACUCAAAAUCCCAGCGAGUAUCCAUUUUCACAGAACUGUUGUUAGGUACUUCCAAUUAUAUCUGAACUUAUUGUUGUGAAAAACAGUUUACUACUUUUUUUUUUAUAUAUUUGUUUCACUUUUUAUGAUUGCAAAGAUAUUUUAUUUUCUGAGAGAUUUUCAUAUUUAUUUACAUGUACAUGUACACACACACACACACACACACACACACACACACACACACACAUAUAUAUAUAUAUAUAUAUAUAUAUAUACAUAUACAUAUACCUACUCUAUCUCAUUAAUUUUUUUCUCCCUCUCAAAUUCAUGGUCUCUCUUGGUUAUUGUUACACACGCAGAUAUGUACACACACACAAACAUAGACACACACACAGACACACACCCAUAUACAUAUAUACAACUUGCUCAAUCCAUUUAGUGUUACUUGUGUGUGUAUGGUUUCAGGGCUGAGCAAUUGUGAGAUUAUGUCUCCUAGAAGUAAGGGAAACUUCACUAAUGAUACCAUAGCUAUUUGGCUACCUAAAUAAGGUCAGAACAAAUAUAACACCAAUGGAUAUGCUAACAUGGUUUUAGAAAAUUGUAUCCACUCUCUACACUCUAUGCCUUGGGUUAGUUUUUAUUAUUUUUUGAAUACACUUGAGAGUUUCACCUGGCUUCUGUCUUUUAUCUGCUCUUGGGUGUAGUUUUAAAACUGUGUUUCUUCGUUGUAUUUUAGGUGAGGUUUUCAGGGCCAUAUGCCCAUUUGCUAAUUUUUGUCAUUUACUACAACCCAUAUAAAGUUCAUUUUACUAAAUGUGCUUUAGUCUCUAAUUUUUAAUUAGUGUAUAUUAGCCGGUUGUGGUUUACUAUUGUUUAUUAGUAUAUAUUAAUUGCUCAAAUUAAUAGGCUUCAUAAAAAUUAAUAGCUCUAUUCUUAAUAUCUCUAAUUUCUAAUACACUUAGUCUUCUCAGUUAUUUGUAGUUUGCAAUGUGUUACAAACAGUUUUAUUAUUGCUCCCCUAUGUAUCUUUGAGUAUUCUUGGCAUUUUUAUGUUGGAACUGUAAAGUUUCAUUUCAUUUGGAAUAUAUUUAUUUCCCAAUCAUCAGUAGGAGCAGGGGUAGAAUUUUCAGCAUUAAAUUUUGUCACCAAUUUUGGAGUUUGGGCUCUAUAACUAUUAUAAAAUAAAGUCACAAAUUAUUUGCCAAUAUUUCCACUGAGUGUGUGGAUCUUGUCUCCUCUUUAAUCCGUACAUUGGAGAGGAAGACUUUAGUGGAAACGAUGCCUUUUUAUCGCCUGUAUCAGUCACCUGAGAGCCCUGACCAUCCUGUGAUUAGCCUGAUGGUCAUGCAUAUGACCAUAUGGCAAGGCCUUAUACUCUAUGAACACAGGGUAGUUUACAACCAUGUCACUAAGCAAUUCUAAAUCUGUGGGUUUUACCCCUUUAGGGUGCAUACAUCAGAUAUCCUGCAUAACAGAUAUUUACAUUAUGAUUUGUGACAGUAGUUAAAUUCUAGAUAUGAAGAAGCAACAAAAUGAUUUUUUAGUUGAGGGUCACCACAACAUGAGGAAUUGUAUCAAAGGGUCACAGAAUUAGGGAGGUUGAAAACCACUUAGAGUCUAAGGGAUAAGAUUUAUGAGUGAAGCUUUCUGACUUAUUAUAUUCAACCCAGCCACCAUCUGAAUAUCAACCCAGAGACAUCAGGCAAAGCAAAAGAAUCACUCAGUUCUGAUAUGCUCAAAAUCUAGACUCAAAGAUUCAAUGCACUAAUCAUUGCUUUGAGUGACUAGCAUUUUAGAGGGUUUUGCUAUACAACUAUAGAAAAUCAUGAAUCUAUUUUUUCUGCAUCCUACUGACUCCCCCAUAUAUACCUCCAAUAGCUGUUGGUCUUUAGAUCCUUCAGUCUAAGCAUAUGUCAUAGAUCCAUCUUCAGGUGAGUCUUCAGAGAGUACAGCCUAGAGUCCCUGAGUGAAAAGCAGCAUGGCUGAAUCUUUGCUUCAAAAUGGUAACCCCAAUAUCAUUCUCUUCCCUGUGAAAGGUGUUAAGACUCACUAUAGUGAAAACUUAUGGGAUUGCUGGAAAUUAAGGCCAUGAAAUGUGGAGCCCCAAUAAGAUUGCGUCCCCAAGGUAUGUCUCAGUUUCAAACUAGUCAACACUCAGUGCUCAGGAAUUCACCAAGAACCCUAUUUACAUGCUCUAACUGGUUCAUGCCUCUACAAUCUUCCCUUCUAGAUAAUGAGGAUGGUCUGCUCUAGCAGCUAGGUAGCUUUGCAUUGUAACAACAACAACAACAACAACAACAACAACAAAACCUAAGGGGAUUUAAGGGAGGAGAGAUUUGUUCUGACUCAGUUUCAGAGGUUUGUUUGGGCAACUGGCUCUGUUGCUUCAGGUCUAAGAUGAGGAAGAUUGUUAAGAUAUUGGGAGCAGGCAAGGAAGGAGGAAGAAACUGUUGAUCCCAUGGUAACUGCAAAGCUACAAAAAGAAAAAGGAAAGAACG